rnacentral:lncRNA from 1 species
GCGGGGUCAGGUCGCUGUCCCCCCAGGCGCGCAGGAUUCGCUCCGUGCCGUGGUGCGCGUGGAGGUGGCCGUGCGCCAGGUCGAUCGUCUCCGCAGCCUUCUCCCCGACCCUGAGCCCCGGGAGCAGGCCCUCGAGGUUGGUGUGCAGGAAACGAGGGGGCAGGAUGUCGUCCACGGUGGCGCGGGCGAUGAACAUGGCGAGGUCGUCCGCGGCGGCGGGCACGUCGAUGGCGAGGUCGUCGACGCUCUCCAGCAGCCGCUCGAAGCCCCGCUGCAGCUGCUCGGGGUCGACGUGGUGCGGGUAGAGCGCGGACAGGAGCACCGCCGCGGCCUCCUUCUCACGAUCGCCCCUGUCCAUCGACAUCGUCACGAGCUUCUUC